UACGUAGGGUGCAAGCGUUAAUCGGAAUUACUGGGCGUAAAGCGUGCGCAGGCGGUUUUGUAAGUCUGUCGUGAAAUCCCCGGGCUCAACCUGGGAAUUGCGAUGGAGACUGCAAGGCUAGAAUCUGGCAGAGGGGGGUAGAAUUCCACGUGUAGCAGUGAAAUGCGUAGAGAUGUGGAGGAACACCGGUGGCGAAGGCGG
rnacentral:rRNA from 1 species